AUUGAACGCUGGCGGCAUGCCUUACACAUGCAAGUCGAACGGUAACAGGUCUUCGGAUGCUGACGAGUGGCGAACGGGUGAGUAAUACAUCGGAACGUGCCCGAUCGUGGGGGAUAACGGAGCGAAAGCUUUGCUAAUACCGCAUGCGAUCUACGGAUGAAAGCAGGGGACCGCAAGGCCUUGCGCGGACGGAGCGGCCGAUGGCAGAUUAGGUAGUUGGUGGGAUAAAAGCUUACCAAGCCGACGAUCUGUAGCUGGUCUGAGAGGACGACCAGCCACACUGGGACUGGGACACGGCCCAGACUCCGACGGGAGGCAGCAGUGGGGAAUUUUGGACAAUGGGAGAAAGCCUGAUCCAGCCAUGCCGCGUGCAGGAUGAAGGCCUUCGGGUUGUAAACUGCUUUUGUACGGAACGAAAAGACUCCUUCUAAUAAAGGGGGUCCAUGACGGUACCGUAAGAAUAAGCACCGGCUAACUACGUGCCAGCCGCCGCCGUAAAAC
rnacentral:rRNA from 1 species